rnacentral:rRNA from 1 species
UACGGAGGAUCCAAGCGUUAUCCGGAUUCAUUGGGUUUAAAGGGUGCGUAGGCGGAAUGGUAAGUCAGUGGUGAAAGCCCUUCGCUUAACGAAGGAACUGCCUCUGAUACUGCCAAUCUUGAGUACAUUUGAUGUGGGCGGAAUGUGUCAUGUAGCGGUGAAAUGCUUAGAUAUGACACAGAACACCGAUUGACGAAGGCAGCUCACAAAAACUGUAACUGACGCUGAGGCAUCGAAAAGCGUGGGGAUCAAACGGG